rnacentral:rRNA from 1 species
CCCUUAGAUGUUCUGGGCCGCACGCGCGCUACACUGAGCCCUUCAUCGAGUUUACAACCUUGGCCGGUAGGUCUGGGUAAUCUUCUCAAAGGGGCUCGUGCUGGGGAUAGAUUAUUGUAAUUUUUAAUCUUCAACGAGGAAUUCCUAGUAAACGCAAGUCAACAGCUUGCAUUGAUUACGUCCCUGCCCUUUGUACACACCGCCCGUCGCUACUACCGAUUGAAUGGUUUAGUGAGAUCUCCGGAUUGGCACCAUCGAGGCUUCACGGCCUUGACGGAAAGUCGAAAAGUUGCUCAAACUUGAUCAUUUAGAGGAAGUAAAAGUCGUAACA